rnacentral:rRNA from 1 species
UACGGGGGAGGCAAGCGUUGUUCGGAUUUACUGGGCGUAAAGGGCGCGUAGGCGGCCACCGCAAGUCGAUUGUGAAAUCUCCGGGCUUAACCCGGAAAGGUCAACCGAUACUGCGGGGCUAGAGUGCAGAAGGGGCAACUGGAAUUCUCGGUGUAGCGGUGAAAUGCGUAGAUAUCGAGAGGAACACCUGCGGCGAAGGCGGGUGCUGGGCUGACACUGACGCUGAAGUGCGAAAGCUAGGGGAGCGAACGGG